rnacentral:rRNA from 1 species
GUCCACGCCGUAAACGAUGAAUGCCAGCCGUUAGGCAGCUUGCUGCUUAGUGGCGCAGCUAACGCUUUAAGCAUUCCGCCUGGGGAGUACGGUCGCAAGAUUAAAACUAAAAGGAAUUGACGGGGGCCCGCACAAGCGGUGGAGCAUGUGGUUUAAUUCGAAGCAACGCGCAGAACCUUACCAGCUUUUGACAUGCCUUGGACGGAUACCAGAGAUGGUUUCUUCUCUUCGGAGCCAGGGACACAGGUGCUGCAUGGCUGUCGU